GAUGAACGCUGGCGGCGUGCCUAAUACAUGCAAGUCGAGCGAACAGAUGAGGAGCUUGCUCCUCUGACGUUAGCGGCGGACGGGUGAGUAACACGUGGAUAACCUACCUAUAAGACUGGGAUAACUUCGGGAAACCGGAGCUAAUACCGGAUAAUAUAUUGAACCGCCUGGUUCAAUAGUGAAAGACGGUUUUGCUGUCACUUAUAGAUGGAUCCGCGCCGCAUUAGCUAGUUGGUAAGGUAACGGCUUACCAAGGCAACGAUGCGUAGCCGACGUGAGAGGGUGAUCGGCCACACUGGAACUGAGACACGGUCCAGACUCCUACGGGAGGCAGCAGUAGGGAAUCUUCCGCAAUGGGCGAAAGCCUGACGGAGCAACGCCGCGUGAGUGAUGAAGGUCUUCGGAUCGUAAAACUCUGUUAUUAGGGAAGAACAAAUGUGUAAGUAACUAUGCACGUCUUGACGGUACCUAAUCAGAAAGCCACGGCUAACUACGUG
rnacentral:rRNA from 1 species